rnacentral:lncRNA from 1 species
CAAGUCAGGGCGCCCCGCCCUGCCAACCCCUUUUUUUUUUGCCAUCGGAAAAGGUACCAAAAACUCAACCAAAACUUAGAUCCAUCCGCCUCAACCAUUGCGGUCGCCGCCACUGAAUACAUCAAUUGAUACAACUUAUCAGCUGCAAGCGCGACAUCAUCAAUUCUUGAGGCCAACGCAAAAGUUCAACAUUUGGUAGCAAAAGGUUUCCAUGGCCAAGCCCUUGCAGUGUACAAAGAACAAGUCCACCCUUUCCCUGCAACUGCAAGUCUGCAAGUACCUUUAUUCUUCCGUCAAUCAUCAUAGCCUGUGCUCAUUCUCAAACCCACCAAAUUUUGGGACUUCAAAUACACUGCAACGUUGUCAUAGAUGGGUUUGAUUCUGAAUCCACCGUCUCAAAUUCCCUCAUCUCCAUGUAUUCAAAGUUUUCGGACACGAAGAGCGCGUACAAGCUGUUCGAUUCUAUGCCUCAUAGAGAUACCAUUUCCUGGAAUGCCGUGUUAAUUGCUAUAUGCAAAAUGGGUUUUUCUCGAGUCAUUAAAGAUGUUUAGGGAGAUCAGAGAUGUAUAUGCCUGGUUUUGUGUCGAAAUCUGAGCUUAUCGAGUGUAAAUGGUUUGGGACCUCAUCUGCAAAAAU